rnacentral:rRNA from 1 species
UACGUAGGGGGCUAGCGUUGUCCGGAAUCAUUGGGCGUAAAGAGCGUGUAAGCGGUCCGGUAAGUCCGCUGUGAAAGUCGGGGGCUCAACCCUCGAAUGCCGGUGGAUACUGUCGGGCUAGAGUGCGGAAGAGGCGAGUGGAAUUCCUGGUGUAGCGGUGAAAUGCGCAGAUAUCAGGAGGAACACCAAUUGCGAAGGCAGCUCGCUGGGACGUUACUGACGCUGAGACGCGAAAGCAUGGGGAGCAAACAGG